GAAAUAUAAUGUAUAACACAUGUAGAUUAAGAAUGAUUCAACAGAUAUACUUGAAAAUAAUUUGUAUUGAGGUUUUAUCAUAGGAAAACUAAGUGAGAGUAUUUUACAUGCAGCAUCAGGAAGAGUCAGGGACAACAAUAAAGGCAAUGAGAACUUUUCAGGUUAAAAAAGAAUGUGAGCCUUUAAUAUAUGAUCCCAAACUACUGUUGCAAUGCGAUUUUCCCCUUUUAUCCUCUUUUAAACUAUGCAUCUAUUGAAUACAACCCAUUUUAAGUACUUGUGCUGUGUACAUUGUAGUAAAAGAAAUAUAAAGCAGUCCUGCCCCUGAAAGAGAGUCUGGUCUAAAGGGGAGCUUAGGCCAAAGAAGAAUUAUAUCACCAUAGGUCCUUAUAGUUAAUAAAAGAAUAACAAUAUCAAUAAUUCAGUUAACAUUCUGUGGUUUCUGCCCUCUUAAAAAGUGUGUGUUGCCCUUAGGCACCUGCAACAGGCAACAACAACAGCAAAAAGUAUAUAUAUAUAUAUAUGUAAAUAUAUAUACAGAGAAUUUCAUUAUUACCUUUACCUUUAGAAAUUAUAUUUAUCACACGCACACACUCAAUUUCACAAGUCAGAAAAGAAAGCAAAUAUAUGACACAUGUACUCCCUGAUGAGUAUAGCACAGCAGGACGUCCCAGAAUUUUUCACCUUUAUCCCUUUACUUUUGCUAUUUAUGCCAAUAACAUGGCUUUUCUAUUGUCUGGUGUCCAGGUUUUAUGCAUUCUUUAUAGCUCAGAGGAGAGGCUACUUUGUAUAGUGAUGUCUUCCCAGCACAGCUCAUGCUCACUUCAGACUCACCCAGAAAGCACAACCCUAAUUUUGCAUGAGAAGGACCAUCGACAGAACCUAAAACGUGAGUCCUGCUGAUUUAUACUAUUGAAUUCUAUGCUAUAUUACUGCCCUUGUAAUAAGACAUGGCACUUAUGAAGAUAUAUAAUGAGAGUCUUGAUUUAAGUGUUAAGUCUGGACUAUAAGAGGUAUAGAAAGUAAGAACUGAUAUGUCUUCAUAUCAAUUUAAGGAAUUCUAGUAAUCAGUAGAUACUUAACUUUGAAUAAGAUAAUAUAUUUGUGCUUUCAUUGAUAUUUAAUUUAAAGCAUAUAGCUUUAUAUAGUUUUA
rnacentral:lncRNA from 1 species